rfam:Dipodomys ordii contig_62940, whole genome shotgun sequence.
GGGAAUGUAGCCUAGUGGUAGAGUGCUUGCCUAGCAUGCAUGAAGCUCAGGGUUCGAUUCCUUAGCAUCA